UUCCAAUGGCAUUUUUUUAAAUGUAUUCAUGUGGUGGUCUGUUCUGUGAAUCAAGCAUACCAAGUACAGUCGGAGAGGGUCGUAAGAUCUCUAACGUCAGUUUACCUUUAUUCGGGGGUAACUUAUAUCCGGUCUUUUUAAAAACAUAAUGUUUAGGGAUCCCGUGUCGACAGACGCUAAGGUGGUUUCAAACUGUAAUAUUUCGAAAAUGUUGACAUUCGAAACCUUCGUAACAACUGAUACUACAAUAAAUAAAUUUAGAUUUAUAACCUACGAAGAGCACGUAUUUUUAUUAAGAUAGAAUCAAGCUAUUUUUUUCGUAAAUAAUUUUUUUUAUAGCGAUAAUCUAUUUAUAGGCUGAUUACAAUAGUGAGAAAGUGAUAGAGACGUUAAAACACAGUGAACAUAGAACACAGUGUAUUCAAUGUGAGAUUCUAGAUCCAUUCGUAUGAAAGUUCAUUUCUGACGGUUAUCAAAUAUUGCUAGACAUUUUCACGCUAUAUCCGUACACAGAGUAAACCGCUUACCAACAGGCUUCCAACCAGUCGUUUGGUCCUUCUCAAGUUGAUUUGACCCGAAGUCUACAUUUCUGGACCUGAGCGUAAGUGUGACGUAAGCAACGGAUCAAAGGUGCGUCAGUAUAGUCAGGCCCACGUCUCUGUUGUGGAAUGGUCGAUAGGCCCUAAUGUAGCUGGCCUCUUUCACUCUUGGGAAAUAAUCCUGUUUAGUGCCCAGAAUUCUGACUUUGUCUAAACUGACAGAAUGUUCAGGAAAUUGAUAUGUAUGUGCUGUGAAGAGGAGGCCAUCUACAGGAAUUCUAUAGGGCCUAAACAAUCCUUCGAUCAUCCCUCAACGGGGGCCGACAUCGACUUCCGAGCACCUUUGACCCAUUGUUGACGUCACACUUCCGCUCAGAUCAAAUGAUGUAGGCUAUGCAUAUGUGGGUCAAAUGAACUUUAGAACUACAAGAAAAUUGGUAAAAAGCUUGUGGUACGCGCUUUCUUUCGUGUACAACUAGCAUGCAAAAUUCUUACAAUAUCCAUGAGUGUUGUUCGGUUUUACUUCUUCUUAUAUUUUGCCAGGCAAUAACAGCUAUAUAAUACACAUCCA